UGGGGAAUCUUGGACAAUGGGGGCAACCCUGAUCCAGCGACGCCGCGUGGGUGGUAAGGCCUUCGGGUUGUAAAGCCCUUUCAGCGGGGAAGAUGAUGACAUUACUCGCAGAAGAAGCGCCGGCUAACUCCGUGCCAGCAGCCGCGGUAAGACGGAGGGCGCUAGCGUUGUUCGGAAUCACUGGGCGUAAAGGGCGCGUAGGCGGCUGUCUAAGUCGAGGGUGAAAGCCCGGGGCUCAACCCCGGAACGGCCUUCGAGACUGGAUGGCUAGAGACCGGAAGAGGAGGGGAGAAUACCCAGUGUAGAGGUGAAAGUCGUAGAUAUUGGGUGGAACGCCAGUGGCGAAAGCGGCUCUCUGGUCCGGAUCUGACGCUGAGGCGCGAAAGCGUGGGGAGCAAACAGGAUUAGAUACCCCCGUAGUCC
rnacentral:rRNA from 1 species